UACGAAGGGUGCAAGCGUUAGUCGGAAUUACUGGGCGUAAAGCGUGCGUAGGCGGUUUCUUGAGUCCGUUGUGAAAGCCCUGGGCUCAACCUGGGAACUGCAGUGGAUACUGAGAGGCUAGAGUGUGUCAGAGGAUGGUGGAAUUCCCGGUGUAGCGGUGAAAUGCGUAGAGAUCGGGAGGAACAUCAGUGGCGAAGGCGGCCAUCUGGGACAACACUGACGCUGAGGCACGAAAGCGUGGGGAGCAAACAGG
rnacentral:rRNA from 1 species